UAUAUGAGGCUACUAUGCUAUCGGAAGCACGGAGCCUUCCGUGCUUCCAGCUCGUUUUCGAUAUUGCGACUUUUGAAUCGUCGAUUGGCUCCAUUAAACUUGAUCUAGAGUAUUUGGAGUACCUAGAAAAUAAAUUUUAUUAUUUUUCAAUAUCAUUUGCCUAGUGAUCCAAAAGGCUCAAAAUCAACAAAUUUCAAUGGCUGUAGUGAGCCGUUUGUAAGUUUAACGGUGUAGAAAUAUUCAAAUCAUGUGAAAUUUUGAUAGAAAAUUUUUUAUACUAUAUAAAACAAGAUCAAUAUGUUUAAUUUAAAAUUUUAAUGUCAUAUUAUUACAUUUUGUAAGAUUUUUAUUUUCAGCCGUUGAUUUUGAGCCCUUUCGUUUAUUAGGCAAAUGAUAUCGUAAAAUCAUAAAAUUUAUUUUCUAGAUACUUCAAAUACUCUGGAUCAAGUUUAACGGAGCCGAUCGACGAUUCGAAAGUCGCAACAUCGAAAACUCCGUGCUUCCGAUAGCAUAGUAGCCUCACUCUAUAUAUAUAUAUAUAUAUAAUUAGGCUGGAAUAUUAUUAAUAGUAAAACGCUCUUUUUACUAUCAAGUUUUUAACCGUUGGAUGAAAAAUUGUAGGGUCAGGAUGAUAUUAGUCGGUUAGAGUUGAGUUGUCGCUAUUGUUUGGUUAGGGGUUAGGGGGUGGAAUAACCCCUAACCCCUAUUUUAUUUCCAAAUACUUCUAAAAAUGGGUGGGGACCGUGGGGUUAGCUAACCCCACCUCAAAUUGGUUAUCCCGAGUUAGCUAACCCCACCUAACCCAACCAAACCCCAAACAAACACUAUUUUCUAUUCAUAAUAACCCACUAUUCUUCUUAUCCCACCUAUUCCAACCAAAUACUAUUUUUCACUAUCCUGGACUAACUCCAAUCCCCAACCAAACACAAAAAUACUCUAACCCCACCUUAACCCUAAACUGAACCCUAUCCUUGGUAUAACUAGUUUUUCCUUAACCCUGAACCAAACGGUAGAUUAGGGUUGAGUGGUCCCCACUUGGUUAUAGUAUUUAAUCCAAUGGUUAGAAAUAAUGAAAAGAAUUGAUCCAAAGGUUAAAAAACUGAUAGCAACAAUAGAAUUUUGCUACUAAUAGUAGCCCAGUCCAACUAUAUAUAUAUAUAUAUAUAUAUAUAUAGAACUAUGCUGGAAUACUAUCAAUAGCACCAAGCUUUUGGUACUAUCUGGUUUUCGGCCCUUGGAUUAAAAAACGUACGUUUAGAAUGAUGUCGGCCCCCUCGGUUAAGUGAGUUAUUGAUUUAAUAGUAUAAUCUAACGGUUGAAAAUAAUUAAAAGGUUAAAUCUAACGGCAGAAAACUUGAUAGCACCAAUUGCUUGGUGCUAUCAAUAGUAUCUCAGCCGAACUCUAUAUAUAGAUAUAUAUAGUAGGACUGCUGUGCUCUUAGGAACACGGAAGUCUCCAUGCUCCUGAGCCGUUUUCGAUGAUGGAAUUUCCGAACCAACGAUCGGUCAGUUAGACUUGAUCUAGCGCAUUUGAAGUUUCUAGAAAAUAUUUUUUGCAAUUUUUCGAUAUCAUUUACCUAGUGAUCAAAAGAGUUUAAAAUCAAUAACUUUUAAUAAUUGAUGUUUGCCGUUUUCAAUUUUAACGGUAUAGAAGUGUUCAAAUCAGAUAAAAUUUUGAUACAAAAUUCUUUAUACUAUCUACAACAGGAUCAAUAUCUCUAAUUGAAAAUUUUAGUACUAUAUCACCACUUUUUAUAGAAUUUUUAUUUUUAGUCGGUGAUGUUAAAUCCUUUUGAUUGCUAGCUAAAUGAUAUCGAAAAGCCAUAAAAAUUAUUUUCUAGAAACUUCAAAUACGUCAGAUCAAGUUUAACGGAGCAGAUAGUCGAUUCGAAAAUUCCAUCAUAAAAAAGGCUGAGUACGAAGACCUUCAUGCUCCUAAGAGCACAGUAAUCCUGCUCUCUCUCUCUGUAUAUUAUUAUAUAGUAGUAUUAAAUUUGAGAUAGUUUUAUAGGAUUUUUGUAGUUAAGAAGAAGAAUUCAUUGCAGCUUUAUUUUGAGGUGA
rnacentral:lncRNA from 1 species